GUCCACGCCGUAAACGUUGGGAACUAGAUGUGGGGGCCAUUCCACGGCUUCCGUGUCGCAGCUAACGCAUUAAGUUCCCCGCCUGGGGAGUACGGCCGCAAGGCUAAAACUCAAAGGAAUUGACGGGGGCCCGCACAAGCGGCGGAGCAUGCGGAUUAAUUCGAUGCAACGCGAAGAACCUUACCAAGGCUUGACAUAUACGAGAACGCUUCAGAAAUGAAGAACUCUUUGGACACUCGUAUACAGGUGGUGCAUGGUUGUCGU
rnacentral:rRNA from 1 species